UUUGGAUCGACAAAAUAGAUUUUUAGCUGUGGGAUUUUGAAUUCACUAUAAACAUGUAACAUGAGCGAAGCGGAUACAACGGUUAGCUGCACUAUUUCGAUAAUGUUCGACGAUAUGAAUAUCACCAAUACAGAGUGCUCACAACGAACGUCUAGGUUGAUCGAGACUGAUAGGAAAGUGGAAAUAUGCCAGUUGUUGAUAUAAUUCGCCUCACGACUGUGUCGUCUGCUACAAAUCCAUGUGCACACUGUGGCCACCACACCGCGGGUACUAAUGAGAUGUUUAAACACUUACCAUUGUCACACGAGUGGAUCUUAGCGCACGGACGGACAAAACCGCCAUAUUUGUCAAUACAAACCCGCAAAACCGAAUAUAUGCAUGUACGCAAGACAACAAAGUUAAGUU